GGCCUCCCAAUUCUUACCUCAGGCUAUGUCCUUUACACACUGACUGUAUAGAAAGAGAAGAGACAGCAAUGCACCCCAUAUACACCUCAACCCAGACCCUUUGCCUGGUCUGUAUUGUGAAUUGGGGGACAAAA